GACGAACGCUGGCGGCGUGCUUAACACAUGCAAGUCGGACGGAAAGGCCCUGCUUUUGUGGGGUGCUCGAGUGGCGAACGGGUGAGUAACACGUGAGUAACCUGCCCUUGACUUUGGGAUAACUUCAGGAAACUGGGGCUAAUACCGGAUAGGAGCUCCUGCUGCAUGGUGGGGGUUGGAAAGUUUCGGCGGUUGGGGAUGGACUCGCGGCUUAUCAGCUUGUUGGUGGGGUAGUGGCUUACCAAGGCUUUGACGGGUAGCCGGCCUGAGAGGGUGACCGGCCACCUUGGGCCUGAGGUACGGCCCAGACUCCUACGGGAGGCAGCAGUGGGGAAUAUUGCGCAGUGGGCGGACGCCUGAUGCAGCAACGCCGCGUGCGGGAUGACGGCCUUCGGGUUGUAAACCGCUUUCGCCUGUGACGAGGCGUGAGUGACGGUAAUGGGUAAAGAAGCACCGGCUAACUACGUG
rnacentral:rRNA from 1 species